GAUGAACGCUGGCGGCGUGCCUAAUACAUGCCAGUCGAGCGAACGGACGAGAAGCUUGCUUCUCUGAUGUUAGCGGCGGACGGGUGAGUAACACGUGGAUAACCUACCUAUAAGACUGGGAUAACUUCGGGAAACCGGAGCUAAUACCGGAUAAUAUUUUGAACCGCAUGGUUCAAAAGUGAAAGACGGUCUUGCUGUCACUUAUAGAUGGAUCCGCGCUGCAUUAGCUAGUUGGUAAGGUAACGGCUUACCAAGGCAACGAUGCAUAGCCGACCUGAGAGGGUGAUCGGCCACACUGGAACUGAGACACGGUCCAGACUCCUACGGGAGGCAGCAGUAGGGAAUCUUCCGCAAUGGGCGAAAGCCUGACGGAGCAACGCCGCGUGAGUGAUGAAGGUCUUCGGAUCGUAAAACUCUGUUAUUGGGGAAGAACAUAUAUGUAAGUAACUGUGCACAUCUUGACGGUACCUAAUCAGAAAGCCACGGCUAACUACGUG
rnacentral:rRNA from 1 species